CACUUACAAAGGGGAUUUUGACCCUGCAAGUGGGGAAGCCGAGUACAUCGAAAAAGACUGCAAAAAGUAAGGAAGAACUGUAGAAAUGAAGCAGAGAAGAGUGUCAGGAAGAACUGUUCAAGAAAAGAAUAAGAAGUUAAGGUCCUGCUAGAUGUUCCCCGGCCUUUUUAAAAAGGAGAUUUAGAAAAAGACAGCUCAAUCUGCAUAAACAAUCUGGGAAGAUGCACCUGCCGAAAUUUUUGCUACUACAGAUACUGCGCUUUAAAGUCUGAGCCUAUAACAAUACAAUUACAGACCUUUGGAAGGAAGAUACGUGUUUCAUCAUUUGCACCUCUGGGGAGCCUUUCUGAAGCAAUGGAACUGAAAAUGGGCGCAAGAAUCAUCUUUUUCUUCAAGUGCACAUUUGGAAAUUUCUCUGGAAAUAAUACAGGAG
ensembl:lncRNA